rnacentral:rRNA from 1 species
UACGUAGGGGGCUAGCGUUGUCCGGAUUUAUUGGGCGUAAAGAGCGUGUAGGCGGCCAUGUAGGUCCGGUGUGAAAACUCGAGGCUCAACCUCGAGACGUCGGUUGAAACCGUAAGGCUAGAGUCCGGAAGAGGAGAGUGGAAUUCCCGGUGUAGCGGUGAAAUGCGCAGAUAUCGGGAAGAACACCGGUGGCGAAGGCGGGUCUCUGGGCCGAUACUGACGCUGAGGAGCGAAAGCGUGGGGAGCGAACAGG